rnacentral:snoRNA from 1 species
GGUAUCCUGGGGCUUACCGUGGGCUGUGUUCUUACACUGACUAUAUAGAAAGAGGAGACAAAAUAAACUUAUCCCCUAUACACCUCAGCCCAGGCCCAAUGCCUGGUAUAUAUUUUGAAUGGGGAGACACGG